AUGGGAAGUACAACGAGUCGCUAGACCGCGAGGUCAUGCAAAUCUCUUAAAGCUUCUCUCAGUUCGGAUUGCAGGCUGCAACUCGCCUGCAUGAAGCCGGAAUCGCUAGUAAUCGCGGAUCAGCACGCCGCGGUGAAUACGUUCCCGGGCCUUGUACACACCGCCCGUCACACCACGAGAGUUUGUAACACCCGAAGUCGGUGAGGUAACCUUUUUGGAGCCAGCCGCCUAAGGUGGGAUAGAUGAUUGGGGUGAAGUCGUAACAAGGUAGCCGUAUCGGAAGGUGCGGCUGGAUCACCUCCUUUCUAAGGAA
rnacentral:rRNA from 1 species